GCUCAGGGGUGUCCCAAGGAUAAUUCUGGGGUUCCUGGAGGGAUAACUUGGGGGUGCCCAGAGGGAUAAGUCGAUAUGCCCAAAGGAUAACUCAGAGAUGUCCAGAGGGAUGCUCAGGCUGUCCCAAGGGUAACUCAGAGAUGUCCAGAGGCAUGCUCAGGGUGCCCAGAAGGAUGCUCAUGCUGCCCCAGUUAUAAUUCAGGGAUGUCCAGAGGGAUGCUGGUGGCUUGAACAGCUGGAAAACCUUCCAGGACAGCGAUUCCUGCACUGGAAUGUUUCCUGAGGUUGCAGUUUAAAGUAAAGGGUGCUGAGUUACUUUCCCAAUAGUGUUCAGUGAUUUCUCAGUGUUUCCAAGUGAUCUUUUGAUGUAAGUGCCUGACAAAACCCAUCUUUCUCCAAACAAGUAUCUCGUGGUGCUGAGCACCAGAGUCUCCCAGCAGGAGACUUCAAAAGUCUUUCUCAAAGUGUGUUGGAAACUUGGGAAUGCUUGCUGUCAUCUUUUCCCUGAGAAGUGUAGUAACUUCACAACCAGCACAGGGCAUUAUCUACAAAUCAGGCCCUUGAGAUGCCUUUGGAUUAUUUGACUUUAAAGUGAGUGGAAGUCCAGUAAAAACUCCUUACCUGUUUGUUUAAUAUUCCCUUGUGUUUCCCUGGACUACCAGGAGAUAAUGGAGUGGGACAUGUGACAGGAAUUGUAAGUGAAGGUGAAUUGCAUUCCCUUAUGUUUUCAUAGACCCUGCACAAAAAAAAAGAAAAAAUACAAAACUUCAGAGUAAGGGUUUCAGUCAUUCUUGCACACAACAUGCUUAGGAAUAGUGGGACUGGAGUGUUCAGAGUACUUGUGGCUUUGGACAACAUUUAGGAGUGUAUAGAGCUAUAAAAUUUAUCAUUAAAACCAAUAUUUUUAACUUCUUGAGGUGGUUUAAAUGAAUGGCAGAGCAGGGCUUUUUUUUCUAAACUGUCUGCUGGUAAAUUGUUCUUUUUUUUUUAAAUAAAGCAAUAAUUUCAGUCAGUAGAGAGGUUAUGAAUUAGAAGCU
rnacentral:lncRNA from 1 species